rnacentral:rRNA from 1 species
GACGAACGCUGGCGGCGUGCUUAACACAUGCAAGUCGAACGGAAAGGCCCUGCUUGCAGGGUACUCGAAUGGCGAACGGGUGAGUAACACGUGGGUGAUCUGCCCUGCACUUCGGGAUAAGCCUGGGAAACUGGGUCUAAUACCGGAUAGGAGCCAUUUUUAGUGUGAUGGUUGGAAAGUUUGUUCGGUGUAGGAUGAGCUCGCGGCCUAUCAGCUUGUUGGUGGGGUAAUGGCCUACCAAGGCGGCGACGGGUAGCCGGCCUGAGAGGGUGGACGGGCACAUUGGGACUGCGAGACGGCGCAGACUCCUACGGGAGGCAGCAGUGGGGAGUAUUGCACAAUGGGCGCAAGUCUGAUGCAGCGACGCCGCGUGGGGGAUGACGGCCUUCGGGUUGUAAACGCCUUUCGCUAGGGACGAAGCUUUUUGUGACGGUACCUAGAUAAGAAGCAACGGCUAACUACGUG